ACGGCGCUCGGCGCAGGCGCCCCGCCCCGCCCGGGGGCGCUGCUGAUGUGGCCCCGGACAACCUAGCGCCGGGCGUCCCGCCCGCACCUCGCCGGGGCGCUUCCUGGAGGAGGAUGAGGUGGGCUUCCCGGGCUCCCCGGCUCGGCCGCGCGCCCCCUCGCGCCGAGCGUAAUUCACUGGGUUUCCUGCUGCCCGGCGGUGGCCGUGCUGGGAGCCCAGGGGACGGAUCGGAGGAUGCUGCCAGGGCCAGCUUUGCUCUCUGCCCACCCUUUCCGGUUAAAGCUAGGCAGGACGAGCUCUGGCCCUUCCAGAUGGCUUCGCCUAAGGUUAGCCAUCGCAUUACAGCAUGGGCCUGAGGGCGCACGCCCGGAAUCCCGGCCCUGCGGAGGCUGAAGCAGGAAGAUCAUGGUUGAUGGCUUAUUUGGGAUGAAUCAGGCAGAUUAAAAAGAAGCAGAUGGUUCAGAAGAGAGCUCCAAGACAUAUUUUCGGAGGACAGUUCAGAGUCCCCGGGGAAGUCCCCACGUUGCCUGUGACAUCCUCGGGGCUGACCUGAAGCUUCCUGACUCAGCAGGAGGAAAAGGCAAGAAUGAAAUUUUGGACAGUGGAGCAACUGAAAAUGAGGAACAGUGAAUAAAUGAUGUAAAAAACAAAAACAAAACCCAAGUGAGUCACACCGGCUCGUUCUGUGAAAAAGACCGCAGUUUGCAGUGUUUUGCAUUUCUGGUAUCAACAGUGCCUCUCUUGUGUUAAAGACAAAAAUUCAGACCAGUCCAACAGUUUGAGGAAAGAACAAUGCAUCAGGUGGGCAGGCUGGCCAUGGAGAGGGCUGGAGAUGUACUGUGCAGUGAGGGGUGAAAUCCUUUCGAGCUGAUCAGGGAAAUCAAGCGCAGAAAUAACGUGCUGCGUUUCGGGGAAGGUUCUGCCUUGGCGCAGAUGGUCUGGCCCAGGGGCCGGGCUGGCUGCAGCUUGGUUGGUUGUGUGUGGCUCAAACCCAGCUAUUUGUUACCAAAAUACACUCCUAUUUCAACUGUCUAA